AAACCAAACACACCAGUGAAGCCGUGUUGGACCCCCGGACCAGAGCAGCCGCCAACUGAAUUUGUGACUUCGGUCGUGCCAUGUGGAACCGAAGAAUUACCCAGCUGACCCCAACCCAAACUCCUGACCUACAGAGUUGUGGCUCCGCGCUGAGCCCCGGCGAACAUCACAGAUUAGCAUCCCAGGCUCUCUCGUGGGUGAGCCUCCUGCUGUGAGGCGGGAGGUCCUGUCCUGCCUGUGCCAGCUGGGGAAGGAGACUUAGAAGCCCGCCGUCUGCCAGACAGACAACCACCAGCCUUUCUGUUUUCAGUCCUGCCCUACACCUCGGUCUUUGGAGGUUCUUGGUCUCUCUCAUCCCUGAGCCUUUGAUCUCCAGUUGUCUUGUGUCCUGAUGGCUCCCCUGAACAGUCAGGGUUCAACUUUCUGGGUUUCCCAAGUCAGCCUACCAUCUGUUUUCCAGCUUCGAGAGUUUGGUUGACUGUUCUCAUCUGCUGUGAGUUCCUCACAUGGUCUCUUUGUCCCAGUGGAGAGGUGUGCAUUUUUAAAAACGCUUUUAGGUCAUUUUAUUAGAAUUUCAAAAACAUUGGAGGCGAAUAAAUGUGUUCAGUCUGCCAUGUUUAA